rnacentral:rRNA from 1 species
UACGGAGGGAGCUAGCGUUGUUCGGAUAUACUGGGCGUAAAGCGCACGUAGGCGGCGCAGCAAGUCAGGGGUGAAAUCCCGGGAGCUCAACCCCCGGAACGGCCUUUGAUACUGGGUGUCUUUGAGUUCGGAAGAGGUGAGUGGAAUUGCGAGUGUAGAGGUGAAAUUCGUAGAUAUUCGCAGGAACACCAGUGGCUGAAGGCGGCUCACUGGUCCGAUACUGACGCUGAGGUGCGAAAGCGUGGGGAGCAAACGG